rnacentral:lncRNA from 1 species
AUGGCCAGCGCAGCGCCCUUUAUACGGCCAGCGCAGCGCCCUUUAUAUGGCUGCGCAGGACCCUUUAUAUGGCCAGUGCAGUGCCCUUUAUAUGGCCAGCACAGGGCCCUUUAUAUGGCCAGCACAGCGCCCUUUACAUGGCCAGCACAGCGCCCUUCAUAUGGCCAGUGCAGCGCCCUUCAUAUGGCCAGUGCAGCGCCCUUUAUAUGGCCAGCACAGCGCCCUUUACAUGGCCAGCACAGCGCCCUUCAUAUGGUCAGCGCAGCACCCUUCGUAUGGCCAGCCCAGGGCCCUUGGUAUGGCCAGUGCAGCGCCCUUCAUACGGCCAGCGCAGGGCCCUUCAUAUGGCCAGCACAGGGCCCUUUAUACGGCCAGCACAGCACCCUUCAUAUGGCCAGCACAGGGCCCUUUAUACGGCCAGCACAGCGCCCUUCAUAUGGCCAGCACAGGGCCCUUUAUACGGCCAGCGCAGCGCCCUUUAUACGGCCAGCACAGCACCCUUCAUAUGGCCAGCGCAGGACCCUUUAUACGGCCAGCACAGCGACGGCCAGCACAGCGCCCUUCAUAUGGCCAGCCCAGCGCCCGUCAUAUGGCCAGCACAGCGCCCUUCAUGCGGCCAGCACAGGCCUGCUGCUGUGCCUGGGCUCGGCAGCCCGCUCGGAGCACCUGACACACGCGGCUGCUGCAGCGUGCUCGGGGAGCGCUGAGCCUCCACACCGGGCCACGUCCAGAGCCGCCCGACACGGCACAGCAGAACCCACACUGACAGGGAAAAGCCGAUCUCCUGGAGCGCCGGUACUGUCACUGCAGUGCAGAUACCGCCACUGCAGCGCCACGGCCCCGGCAGCCCCGGCAUGGAGGGCUCGGCUGUCCGCAGCCCAGCCCUGCCGGGGCACCGAGGGCUCCGGUUCCCCGCAGCCCAUCCCUGCCGGGGCUGGGGGGCUCCGCUGCCCGCAGCCCAUCCCUGCCAGGGCUGGGGGGCUCCGCUGCCCGCAGCCCAGCCCUGCCGGGGCACCGGGGGCUCCGCUGCCCGCAGCCCAUCUCUGCCGGGGCACCGAGGGCUCCGCUGCCCACAGCCCAUCCCUGCCGGGGCACCGAGGGCUCCGCUGCCCGCAGCCCGUCCCUGCCGGGGCACCGGGGGCUCCGCUGCCCGCAGCCCAUCCCUGCCGGGGCUGGGGGGCUCCGCUGCCCGCAGCCCAUCCCUGCCGGGCCGCCGGGGCAGCCUGGCUCACACACCACACACGGCAGCGCCCAGGGCCCUGCAGCACUGAGCUGGGCACUUCGGAAUGCUCUCCCUUUUUUAGAAGGAAAAAAUUCCAAUUAACUUCUCUGGAAGCAGGAUUGGGCCCAGAGCCCACAAAUGCUCCGGGUUCCCAAGUCCUUACUCACUGCCUGCAGUUGGACUCGGUGGACAGCGAGGCAGCAGGAAUGCACGGAGCUGCUGCGGGAGGAUUUGGGAGCCGGGGCCCAGCCCUGCUCCUCCAGCCCCCAGGCUCCGCCAGGGCUCGGUACGUGCUGCAGUAA